CUUAACACAUGCAAGUCGAGGGGCAGCAUGGUCUUAGCUUGCUAAGGCCGAUGGCGACCGGCGCACGGGUGAGUAACACGUAUCCAACCUGCCGUCUACUCUUGGACAGCCUUCUGAAAGGAAGAUUAAUACAAGAUGGCAUCAUGAGUCCGCAUGUUCACAUGAUUAAAGGUAUUCCGGUAGACGAUGGGGAUGCGUUCCAUUAGAUAGUAGGCGGGGUAACGGCCCACCUAGUCUUCGAUGGAUAGGGGUUCUGAGAGGAAGGUCCCCCACAUUGGAACUGAGACACGGUCCAAACUCCUACGGGAGGCAGCAGUGAGGAAUAUUGGUCAAUGGGCGAGAGCCUGAACCAGCCAAGUAGCGUGAAGGAUGACUGCCCUAUGGGUUGUAAACUUCUUUUAUAAAGGAAUAAAGUCGGGUAUGGAUACCCGUUUGCAUGUACUUUAUGAAUAAGGAUCGGCUAACUCCGUGCCAGCAGCCGCGGUAAUACGGAGGAUCCGAGCGUUAUCCGGAUUUAUUGGGUUUAAAGGGAGCGUAGAUGGAUGUUUAAGUCAGUUGUGAAAGUUUGCGGCUCAACCGUAAAAUUGCAGUUGAUACUGGAUAUCUUGAGUGCAGUUGAGGCAGGCGGAAUUCGUGGUGUAGCGGUGAAAUGCUUAGAUAUCACGAAGAACUCCGAUUGCGAAGGCAGCCUGCUAAGCUGCAACUGACAUUGAGGCUCGAAAGUGUGGGUAUCAAACAGGAUUAGAUACCCUGGUAGUCCACACGGUAAACGAUGAAUACUCGCUGUUUGCGAUAUACUGCAAGCGGCCAAGCGAAAGCGUUAAGUAUUCCACCUGGGGAGUACGCCGGCAACGGUGAAACUCAAAGGAAUUGACGGGGGCCCGCACAAGCGGAGGAACAUGUGGUUUAAUUCGAUGAUACGCGAGGAACCUUACCCGGGCUUAAAUUGCAGAUGAAUUACGGUGAAAGCCGUAAGCCGCAAGGCAUCUGUGAAGGUGCUGCAUGGUUGUCGUCAGCUCGUGCCGUGAGGUGUCGGCUUAAGUGCCAUAACGAGCGCAACCCUUGUUGUCAGUUACUAACAGGUUCCGCUGAGGACUCUGACAAGACUGCCAUCGUAAGAUGUGAGGAAGGUGGGGAUGACGUCAAAUCAGCACGGCCCUUACGUCCGGGGCUACACACGUGUUACAAUGGGGGGUACAGAGGGCCGCUACCACGCGAGUGGAUGCCAAUCCCCAAAACCUCUCUCAGUUCGGACUGGAGUCUGCAACCCGACUCCACGAAGCUGGAUUCGCUAGUAAUCGCGCAUCAGCCACGGCGCGGUGAAUACGUUCCCGGGCCUUGUACACACCGCCCGUCAAGCCAUGGGAGCCGGGGGUACCUGAAGUGCGUAACCGCGAGGAGCGCCCUAGGGUAAAACUGGUGACUGGGGCUAAG
rnacentral:rRNA from 1 species